AUUAGGUUGGUGCAAAAGUAAUCACAGUCUUUGCCAUUAAAGUAGUGACAAAGACUGCAAUUACUUUUGCACCAACCCAAUA
ensembl:miRNA